rnacentral:rRNA from 1 species
GACGAACGCUGGCGGCGUGCCUAAUACAUGCAAGUAGAACGCUGAAGGAGGAGCUUGCUUCUCUGGAUGAGUUGCGAACGGGUGAGUAACGCGUAGGUAACCUGCCUGGUAGCGGGGGAUAACUAUUGGAAACGAUAGCUAAUACCGCAUAAGAGUAGAUGUUGCAUGACAUUUGCUUAAAAGGUGCAAUUGCAUCACUACCAGAUGGACCUGCGUUGUAUUAGCUAGUUGGUGGGGUAACGGCUCACCAAGGCGACGAUACAUAGCCGACCUGAGAGGGUGAUCGGCCACACUGGGACUGAGACACGGCCCAGACUCCUACGGGAGGCAGCAGUAGGGAAUCUUCGGCAAUGGACGGAAGUCUGACCGAGCAACGCCGCGUGAGUGAAGAAGGUUUUCGGAUCGUAAAGCUCUGUUGUAAGAGAAGAACGGGUGUGAGAGUGGAAAGUUCACACUGUGACGGUAUCUUACCAGAAAGGGACGGCUAACUACGUGCCAGCAGCCGCGGUAAUACGUAGGUCCCGAGCGUUGUCCGGAUUUAUUGGGCGUAAAGCGAGCGCAGGCGGUUAGAUAAGUCUGAAGUUAAAGGCUGUGGCUUAACCAUAGUACGCUUUGGAAACUGUUUAACUUGAGUGCAAGAGGGGAGAGUGGAAUUCCAUGUGUAGCGGUGAAAUGCGUAGAUAUAUGGAGGAACACCGGUGGCGAAAGCGGCUCUCUGGCUUGUAACUGACGCUGAGGCUCGAAAGCGUGGGGAGCAAACAGG